GAUGAACGCUGGCGGCGUGCUUAACACAUGCAAGUCGAACGAUGAAGCCCAGCUUGCUGGGUGGAUUAGUGGCGAACGGGUGAGUAACACGUGAGUAACCUGCCCUUCACUCUGGGAUAAGCCUGGGAAACUGGGUCUAAUACCGGAUAGGAGCGCCUACCGCAUGGUGGGGGUUGGAAAGAUUUAUCGGUUUUGGAUGGACUCGCGGCCUAUCAGCCUGUUGGUGUGGUGAUGGCUCACCCAGGCGACGACGGGUAGCCGGCCUGAGAGGGUGACCGGCCACACUGGGAUGGAGAGACCGCCGAGGCGCCUACGGGAGGCAGCAGUGGAGAAUAUUGGACAAUGAGCUAAAGGCUGAUGCAGCCGCACCGCGUGAGGGAUAUCGGCCUUCAGGUUGUAUACCGCAAUCGUUAGGGAAGAAGCGAAAGUGACGGUACCUGCAGAAGAAGUACCUGCUAACUACGUG
rnacentral:rRNA from 1 species